GAUGAACGCUGGCGGCGUGCCUAAUACAUGCAAGUCGAGCGAACGGACGAGAAGCUUGCUUCUCUGAUGUUAGCGGCGGACGGGUGAGUAACACGUGGAUAACCUACCUAUAAGACUGGGAUAACUUCGGGAAACCGGAGCUAAUACCGGAUAAUAUUUUGAACCGCAUGGUUCAAAAGUGAAAGACGGUCUUGCUGUCACUUAUAGAUGGAUCCGCGCUGCAUUAGCUAGUUGGUAAGGUAACGGCUUACCAAGGCAACGAUGCAUAGCCGACCUGAGAGGGUGAUCGGCCACACUGGAACUGAGACACGGUCCAUACUCCUACGGGAGGCAGCAGUAGGGAAUCUUCCGCAAUGGGCGAAAGCCUGACGGAGCAACGCCGCGUGAGUGAUGAAGGUCUUCGGAUCGUAAAACUCUGUUAUUAGGGAAGAACAUAUGUGUAAGUAACUGUGCACAUCUUGACGGUACCUAAUCAGAAAGCCACGGCUAACUACGUG
rnacentral:rRNA from 1 species